AUUGAACGCUGGCGGCAGGCCUAACACAUGCAAGUCGAACGAGUGGCGGACGUGUGAGUAAUGUCUGGGAAACUGCCUGAUGGAGGGGGAUAACUACUGGAAACGGUAGAUAAUACCGUCUAACAUCGGAUGUGCCCAGAUGGGAUUAGCUAGUAGGAGGUGUAACGGCUCACCUAGGCGAAGAUCUCUAGCUGGUCUGAGAGGAUGACCAGCCAAACUGGAACUGAGACACGGUCCAGACGCAUACGGGAGGCAGCAGUGGGGAAUAUUGCACAAUGGGCGCAAUCCUGAUGCAGCCAUGCCGCGUGUAUGAAGAAGGCCGUCGGGUUGUAAAGUACUUUCAGCGGGGAGGCGUUACCCGCAGAAGAAGCACCGGCUAACUCCGUGCCAGCAGCCGCGGUAAUAC
rnacentral:rRNA from 1 species